ensembl:lncRNA MEG8 maternally expressed 8, small nucleolar RNA host gene
ACAUCAUGGACCAGUGAUGAAUAUCAUGGGGUUUCUGAAACAACAUUUUUGAUUAAACCCAUCUGCAACUCUGAGGUCCAUUACAAAGAGACACCUCUUUAUUCUUCAUGGAAAAUGAGUCUAGGACCUUGUUCAUGGGCCUUUUGUGGUUUGAGGAAUGAACGCACUCUACCUGAUUUAAUUAUAGUCUUCUGGUGAAGAUCUUGCUGUUAUCUCUGUGAAUCAGGAGAGAAGAGAUUGAUAAGGAAUAGACGAGAUUGGAUUUGGUCAUUUCCCCAAGGUGAAGAGCAUGGCGAUUUCUUCUGUGGUAAGGAGCAAUAAUGAAGACCAUGGUUGAUUUAAUCAGUCUCUGCUGAUGAAGAUCUUGGCUGUUACCUUUGUGUAAUGAAUGCGCAAUGAUUCAAUUAUUCUCCAGCGAGGAAGAUCAUGGUUGUUGUCUGUUUGAGUAAUGAGUGUAGAAACCUAUAAUGGAGGCGUGAUGGCUGAUGCAAUCAUUUUCCACUGAUGAAGGUUUUGAUGGCCACCUGUAAUGAACAGCCCCAUCUGAUUUAAUCACUGUGCAAUGACCGUGAACUGUACAGUUACCUCCGUGUGUCACAGGAAGACUCUUUUGACUUAAGCACCCUUCCAUGGUCAUGAGGUUUCUGGUUGCCUCUGUGUGUUAGAAGCUUGGAGACCAAUGCCUUCUGCUGUGAUCGCGUUCUCCACAGUUGCCUCUGGGUAGGAGCCUGGACACUAAUAGAAAAUGGAUGCACUGGAGCUGAUUUAAACAUUCUUUGGUGGUCACAAGAUGUAUAGCUGCCUCUGUAUGUUUGGCGCAUGGAAAAAAAUAUGAGUUUUUGUGGACAUACACUCUUUAUUUGAAAAGUAUGAAAUAUAAUCCAAGAAAGCCAGCCAUGGCUCAGUGAUAAAUAUGGAAUUGAUAUGAAACAUUAUAUUGAUUAAUCACCUUUGAGGAUGAUUAAUAAAAGAGAGAAAGUGAUUCUAUAUAGAGAUGCAGGACUAUUUCAGGCUCAUUCAUGAUCUAGGUUUUUGUGCUUCAUGGUUAUUUUAUUAUCAUCAAUAAAAAGAAAAAAGAAAAAAA